rnacentral:rRNA from 1 species
CUGGUUGAUCCUGCCGGAGGCCACUGCUAUCGGAGUUCGAUUAAGCCAUGCGAGUCGAGAGGUGCAAGACCUCGGCAUACUGCUCAGUAACACGUGGACAACCUACCCUAUGGAGGGGGAUAACCCCGGGAAACUGGGGAUAAUACCCCAUAGACUAUAGAUGCUGGAAUGCUUUGUAGUUGAAAGGUCAGCCGCCAUAGGAUGGGUCUGCGGCCGAUUAGGUUGUUGUUGGGGUAACGGCCCAACAAGCCUGUAAUCGGUACGGGUUGUGGGAGCAAGAGCCCGGAGAUGGAUUCUGAGACACGAAUCCAGGCCCUACGGGGCGCAGCAGGCGCGAAAACUUUACAAUGCGGGAAACCGUGAUAAGGGAACUCCGAGUGCCCGUAAAAUCGGGCUGUCCAUCUGUUUAAAUAACAGGUGAAGAAAGGGCCGGGCAAGACCGGUGCCAGCCGCCGCGGUAAUACCGGCGGCUCGAGUGGUGGCCACUAUUACUGGGCUUAAAGCGUUCGUAGCUGGUCUGUUAAGUCUCUGGGGAAAUCUACUGGCUUAACCAAUAGGCGUCUCAGGGAUACUGGCAGACUAGGGACCGGGAGAGGUGAGAGGUACUCCAGGGGUAGGAGUGAAAUCCUGUAAUCCUUGGGGGACCACCUGUGGCGAAGGCGUCUCACCAGAACGGCUCCGACAGUGAGGGACGAAAGCUGGGGGAGCAAACCGGAUUAGAUACCCGGGUAGUCCCAGCCGUAACGAUGCGCGUUAGGUGUAUCGGUGACCACGAGUCACCGAGGUGCCGAAAGAAUUCGUGAAACGUGCCGCCUGGGAAGUACNUCGCAAGCUGAACUAAGGAAUGGCGGG